rnacentral:rRNA from 1 species
AUUGAACGCUGGCGGCAGGCCUAACACAUGCAAGUCGAACGAGUGGCGGACGGGUGAGUAAUGUCUGGGAAACUGCCUGAUGGAGGGGGAUAACUACUGGAAACGGUAGCUAAUACCGCAUACCAUCGGAUGUGCCCAGAGGGGAUUAGCUAGUCGGUGGGGUAACGGCUCACCUAGGCGACGAUCCCUCGCUGGUCUGAGAGGAUGACCAGCCACACUGGAACUGAGACACGGUCCAGAAUCCUACGGGAGGCAGCAGUGGGGAAUAUUGCACAAUGGGCGAAAGCCUGAUGCAGCCAUGCCGCGUGUAUGAAGAAGGCCUUCGGAUUGUAAAGUACUUUCAGCGGGGAGGCGUUACCCGCAGAGGAAGCACCGGCUAACUCCGUGCCAGCAGCCGCGGUAAUAC